ensembl:lncRNA
AAGAUUAUUUUCUGGACAUUUCUCUUUUGUAAUAGCUUUAAUGCUUAUAUUACUAAUAUGUCUUCACACUGAAUGAACUAGCAGUACUUUUAUAUCAUUACAUGAAACCCCUUCUGAUCAUCACUGAUAAAACUUUUAUUUCUCUGAAUCAGAUCUGUCACAUUGUGUUUAUUUUCAUAUUUCUGCUCUUGCUCUUUUACUUUAUUCUGUUAUGGUUGAUUUCUUUCAUUUACAGGUCUGUUUAGAUGUUUUCUCUGUUUGAAGAUCUUGAUCUGUUUCUCAGUUUUGUAGUGUCUCUUGUUUUGCUGUCAGUGGUUUGGCUUCAAUUUGCAGUUGACUUUUAACACAUAUAACCACAUGCAUGCAUUAUUCUUCACAAGAUAUUUGCAUCAUAGAAGACUGUUAAACAUGCCCUUCUUUAGACAUUGUAAAUGGGGUCAUUGCUGAAUUUGUUUUCUGAGUUAAAUGUGAAAAUAAAACGCUUUAAAAUGAAACGGUACUUGCAGAAACCAAAUUAUUUUUACCAAAUAAUUUCAGCUGUAACUCGUUUCCUUCUGCAGAUGUCGCUCAUAACAAAGAAAAUGUGUUUGGUAGCAAACUUUAAGUCCAUAUAGUAUAGAAUUAUAUUAUUCCCUGAUUUGAGUUUUAAAAAAGUUUAUUUGCAGUUAAACUUGAUCUCUGUUACAAAACUAUGUGGUUAAAACAUAAAACUGUGUCACAUGCAGAAUAGUUUGAUGACAGUCACUGUUCUUGAAGCAAAUAUUGUAUUUCCAGCAAAAUCCACCCCCGACAUCUGAAAAUAUGGAUUAUUUUCAGGUGUAGUGAAGUGAAUCAAGAAAAUAAGAACAGAAAUAAAAGAGCACAAACAUUACACUUUAAUGUACUGAGAUGAAUUAAUGAAUGAAUAAUUUGUUAAUUUUAACUGAAAAAAAAACAUCCUUAAUGUAGCUUUAAUGAUAAGUUAAGUUCAGAUAAAUCAGAUUAAGCUCAUUUCAGUCCUGUUGUUCUGAAUGAAAUGAGAUCAGAUGGCUGUGAAAGAGUGUAGUUGUAGUUUACUCCUGCAG